AUUGAACGCUGGCGGCAGGCCUAACACAUGCAAGUCGAGCGAGCGGCGGACGGGUGAGGAAUGUAUGGGGACUGCACGAUAGAGGGGGAUAAAUACUGGAAACGGUAGCUAAUACCGCAUACUAUCGGAUAACCCAUAUGGGAUUAGCUAGUAGGUGAGGUAAUGGCUCACCUAGGAGACGAUCCCUAGCUGGUCUGAGAGGUUGAUCAGCCACACUGGGACUGAGACACGGCCCAGACGCCUACGGAGGCAGCAGUGGGGAAUAUUGCACAAUGGGCGCAAGCCUGAUGCAGCAAUGCCGCGUGUAUGAAGAAGGCCCUAGGGUUGUAAAGUACUUUCAGUCGGGAGGCGUUACCGACAGAAGAAGCACCGGCUAACUCCGUGCCAGCCGCCGCGGUAAUUC
rnacentral:rRNA from 1 species